rnacentral:ribozyme from 1 species
AUCGUACAGAGGGAUGAGAAGAUACGCAAUCUGGAUACAAACCCAGAGAAGUUCAUGCAGCUCCAAAAAUAUGUGCACGAGGAGCUUACUCGCUACGUCGAGCGGAUAAUGCGAAGCCUGGAAGAAUGCCGCAAGCAACAGAAGGAGGCCUACUCU